GCUUAAAGAUGAAACAAUUUUAUUUUCUUUUUAAUAACAUAAUUAUCCCAUUAGGCCAAAUAUUUACAAUGUGAAGUUCAAUUCAGUAGUGGUGAAUAGGAUUUUUUUACUUGAAAGAUUGAGUUGUAUAAUUCCAAAUGACCCAGCCACACAACUAAUGAAUUCAUGGUGAACAUUCAGACUAAACAUGAUCAAAUGUAACCUUUGGUUAGAAAUACAUAUUUCCAAUAUGAUAUCCAGCGAGUUUCUGAAUAUUUGAAUUGUUUUGUUCAUUUGCAACGAAAAUAGAUUUAUAGUUUGUGUCUGUGUGUGUGUUUUUUUACUCUGGUUAUUUCUCAUUGAAACCUAAAAAUCCACAGGGGCAGGAAAGGAUAGAUUGACAGGGUACCCAGAAAACAAGGACUGUUUGCAG
rnacentral:lncRNA from 1 species